UACGUAGGGUGCAAGCGUUGUCCGGAAUUAUUGGGCGUAAAGAGCUCGUAGGCGGUCUGUUGCGUCUGCUGUGAAAACCCGGGGCUCAACUCCGGGCCUGCAGCCGAUACGGGCAGACUAGAGUUCGGCAGGGGAGACUGGAAUUCCUGGUGUAGCGGUGAAAUGCGCAGAUAUCAGGAGGAACACCGGUGGCGAAGGCGGGUCUCUGGGCCGAUACUGACGCUGAGGAGCGAAAGCGUGGGGAGCGAACAGG
rnacentral:rRNA from 1 species